AUUUGCAGUUGUUUGACACUUGCUGAUCUUUGACUUGAGGCCUUAUUUUCCCACCUCUUGUGCUGCUGCUACCUUGCUUGAGGAGAUGUAGGGGUGUCAGGACAGGCAAACCAGGCAAAUGUUUGGGCCCCCCCAAAAAGGGGCCCCCAAUGGCCACUCAUACUGGCAUAUUUUGCAAUGACAACUAUAAACUCCCUUAAGCCUCCAAUAAAGGCACUAUACAGUGCUGCUGCCCCAAAAAACCCAGAAGUCCUUCUAGCUACCAUAUGACAGCUGGAUACCGUUAGUUAGGACAGUCAACGAGCUAUCUGUUACUGUCAUACAUGCAACGUUAGGUGUAAAUGUCAACGAAACAAGCGUACCUUUCUGGUCACCAGAAACGAAAGAAAAAACGAGGAGGAAAAACGACACCAGGACAGUGGAGCAUUGUUGAAAUUCUUCCAGCCACUGGAACCAUCUCCAUCUACCACUUCUGACACUGACACUGACUCAGUUCCAUCAACUUCCACACAAUCACAAAAUGCUGUCCUUGAUGAGAGAGAGCAUACAGCACAAGAUGAACAAGAUGAGAGUGACACCCUGCUGCCUCCCCAUCAUAUUAUCACUCCUACAGAAGGUGUGUGUAUUCAACUUCGUCACUGACAGGGGAUGUUUGUGAGGUGGAAGAGGAUCAUCUGUUUCCCGAUGAUAAUGAGGACACCCUGCCCCCCAGCGCCGGCAUUAGAACAUGGACAAUAUCUGAUGACCCUGCAGAAUGGUCUAGUAAGGGUUGGCCGGGUCUCUGAUGGGUACCCACUCCACAGCAGAGCCAUCUCUCCAGGGACUCUUGUAGGAGCGAUUGGGCUCAGGGGACAGAAGAGCUGAUCACAUUUGGACAUUUUUCUCUUCAGGUUGUUUCACCAAGUAACUGCACCUGGAAAGGUAGGGAGAGCUGCAUUUAGUGCCUUAUAAGCCCCUGCCAGAAGAUAGCUCUCCCACCAUUUGGAACAUGCCAGAUUCAUCAUAAAGGACUUGGAUGGGCUGCUCAUACUGCCUCAUGACAAGUUUUGGUGUCAGGCGAUGUUUGAUGAGUCCCUGCAGAGGUGCCUAGACUUAUACUUGCAUCAUGCUCCUCGCAGCCUCGACCUCCGCCUUGCCGUCCUCCCUGGCGGUGGCCAAAACGCAGCGCUCUGAAUCAAAGGAAAACUUCUUCACCCCAGCUGUGUUUGGAGAAAUUAUCUAUGAGAACUUCCUUUCUGACAUUGCCAAAAUUUUAGAUGUGUGUGUGUUGUUUGAAAAAGCAACAGCCAGCUGCUGCAUAAGAUGAUAGAGAACAUCUUUACCCAGCAGCUGUCCUACUACAGUGACUUGGAUCAGACGGUACCCACAGUACCCACUUAGAGGCCUGCCGCAAAAAACACCCCAAGAUACUACAGAAGACAGUUGAAACCUGUGUAGACAAGCAGAAAUAUGCUCGGCACAGAGGGACUCAGGUGGAUGAUGCACGCAGACCAUCCGUGACUGAGGACAAUGAAAGUCCAUCAAUGCUUCAGCACCUGAAGGGAACAGAAGCCCCUCACUGUUGUCAGUCUGCAGACUCUGAUUAAAUCAACAAAUAUACAACAUGAACACAGUCACCUCUCACCUACACAAACACACCAUCAUCAGAUCAGAGUGCUUUUUUUUCUCUUUUUUAUCAUUUUAUUGAUUUGUAUCAUGAUGCCAAAAAUUAAACAUAAAAAGUGCAUUUGUUCAGGGGCUUUGCCAGGUUUCUGUAGUAGCAAAAUGUUGAGUGGAGGAAAUGAAGUGAGAGAAAAGUACAAGGUUUAUAUCCUCCCCCGAUAAUGUAUGUUUAGUUUAUGGUGCAGAGGUUGACUGUACCACAUUUAAGUGUGUAAUUUUUAUUUAUUAGAUUAUAAGCCUAGUCUUGACUUUUUACUUACUUACUUACUUUUUCAUACACACACACACACACCCAAAAUAAAUAAAUAAAUGAAUAAAAAAGUAAUGAGGCUUUUGAAUAUUGAUGUAUUAUCAACCUUUUACAUGUGUUAAUAGUCCUAUUUGAAUAGUUCAGUAAAUCAGUCAUCCUAGUGACCACAGUGGUCAGACCAGUGGAAGAGUUACAGGAAUGUUGUGUCAUAAUGUUAUUGUUCAUGUUAAUUAAUGGUGAAAUAUUUUAAUGACACAUUAACACAAAGCAUUUGAAUAAUGUAAUAACAUUCUGGGAACAUUAAAAAGCAUGCUGCUGAAAACAUUUUCAGGAUGUUAGAGCAUAAUGUUCUAACAAUGUUAUCACUGAACAUUUUAAGAGGGUUAUCACCAAAUAGUGUUUUAGAGAACAUUAUCCCAGAACAUUCUAGGGACAAAAAAAUAACAACUUCCUGUUGAAAACUUUACCAGAACAUUACAUGUAACGAGUCCAGGGUGUGAUUUGCUGGGGGGGGGGGGGUUGGGAAUUCCCCCCCUCUGGUCUAUAUAUCCCUGCCUCUGCUGAGUUAUUUCUAUCCUCCUCAUAGUGAUAUAUGCUGCUUCUCUCAUACACCAUAUAAAAUGUCUAAAAUAAAAAUAAACUAUUUAACAAAAAUCUAAGUGCUGCAAUGUUAGGAACAGUCUAUAGUGCAAACAACAAUAAAAUCAGAAAUGGACUUUGACUGUCAGUGCUGGUGUGACAGUAGAGAUGACACUGCAUCUAGGCUACAUGAUGAUGCAGUAAAUGGACCAGGUGGCUCCUUCCCUACUCAGAGAUUUGCAGAGAUGUGGGUAAAAGAGGGG